rnacentral:rRNA from 1 species
CUUAGCCCCAGUCACCAGUUUUGCCCUAGGACGCUCCUCGCGGUCUCGUACUUCAAGCACCCCCGGCUCCCAUGGCUUGACGGGCGGUGUGUACAAGGCCCGGGAACGUAUUCACCGCGCCAUGGCUGAUGCGCGAUUACUAGCGAAUCCAGCUUCAUGGAGUCGAGUUGCAGACUCCAAUCCGAACUGAGACAGGCUUUCGGGUUCCGCUCCCUGUCACCAGGUGGCUUCCCGCUGUACCUGCCAUUGUAACACGUGUGUCGCCCCGGACGUAAGGGCCGUGCUGAUUUGACGUCAUCCCCGCCUUCCUCGCAGCUUGCGCCGGCAGUCCCGCCAGAGUUCCCGGCUUCCCCCGUUGGCAACUGGCGGUAGGGGUUGCGCUCGUUAUGGCACUUAAGCCGACACCUCACGGCACGAGCUGACGACAACCAUGCAGCACCUCGACUCAGACCAUUGCUGGCUACAUCGUUUCCAAUAUAUUCCU